GUAAAGGACUUGAGCAUCAUGGACGUGGAGCCACCAGGUGUGAGGCUGUGUUAAAACUUCUCAUUAGUCAUAUCGCUGGUUUAAAUGUGGUUUUAACAUCAUGAAGAUAAACGAGAACACUUUGCUGGAGGGACACAGAGUCGUGUUGGUGCCUUACAAUGCAGAGCACGUGCCCAGGUAUCAUGAGUGGAUGAAGUCUCCUCAGCUGCAGCAGCUGACCGCCUCAGAGCCGCUGACCCUGGAACAGGAGUACGACAUGCAAAAGAGCUGGAGGGAAGAUGAUGACAAGUGCACUUUCAUCAUCUUGGACAAGAAGCAGUGGGCGGACAGCAGUGUAGACCAAGAGCAGUGCAUGGUGGGAGAUGUCAACAUCUUCCUGACUGACCCCACAGACCUGUCCUUGGCUGAGCUGGAGAUCAUGAUAGCAGAACCCAGUUACAGAGGAAGAGGCAUCGGGAAGGAGGUGACCUGCAUGAUGAUGAGCUACGGAGUCACCAAACUUGGGGUCAAAAAGUUUGAAGUGAAAAUUGGGCUGGACAACGAGGUCAGCAUCGCCAUGUUCAAGAAACUCCACUUCCAGGAGGUGUCAGUGUGUAAAGUGUUCAAGGAGGUGACCCUCGAGAUGACGGUGGAUGAGUCUGUCCGGACGAGGCUGCUGGACGACACGGCCGACAUGAAGGAGAGAGACUACAGACAGGCCUGCAGCGACAGACAGAAACUGGUUUCACAGUGAAGUGAGCUGCACUCACAUGUCCCAAAGACUCACAGCGGUGGUGGAGGUCAUUUUGCACACUGAUGAGCGAAAUCUGAGUUGACACCUAGUGUGUGUUUAGACUUUUCAGACUUUUACACACAUCUGCAGAGACGGGAAGGACAUUUACUCUGUUAAAAGUACCAUUUUGUGGUACUGGUGCUUAUAAACCGAAGUUUAAAAAUGACCUUUGGACCAAACCAGGAAGAUGGACGUCAAUAUUUAUGGGAACCGACCGAAUCAAGUCUCUAAAAGCAAGAACUGAGAACUGUUAAGUACUUAAAAAUGGGCUUCUAACUACGGUGGCCGACCUGAACGCAAUCGCCCGAUCUCGAGACAGUGUUUGGUUUAUCUGCUCUGGGCUACUGUAGAAACAUGGUGGUCUCCAUAAACGAGGAAACGCUCCCUAGAUCAUCCCAUCCUCCUUUAAUGCAUCAGACUGAUCCACUGGACUACUGGCACAGUAUCGACACUCUGCAUGCUUGUAUGGCCUAGAGUGGAUGUCCAUCAGGAAAAAGGCCCAGCAGAGGAAGUUCAACCUGCCUCAUGAGCUGCAGAUCUAAUUCUACAAAAUUAUUCAUUCUAACUUUAUUGCAUCCAUCACUGUGUGGACUGGACCAGUCACCAAACAGGUUACAACAGACAGUCAUUUCGUGGAAAGAGUCAAUAAUGCCAUCCUGCCCUACAUUCAGGACUUAGUCAUGUCUAGAGUCAGGAAACAGGCAGCAAUCACUACUACAGAUGCAUCCCAACCUGUUCCAACUUCUCCCCUAUGGAAGGUGCUACCGAAAACUGUUGGCAAAACAACCAGACAGUUUCUUUCCACAGGAAAGAUCAACAGUUAACACAGCCCAUAGUGUCAGGACCAAUUUCUGAACAAUCCUUGUGCAAAAACUUGAACACCAAGUAUCCAUCUGUAAAUGAUACAUUCUUAUAGUUUAACUAUACACUGUUAAACAUUUAUAUAUCAACUUUGCCUAAUAUAAAUCUAUGCACACUGUACAUACUGUAAAUGCUGUCACGAUAAUCACUGUUUUGUUUUGUUUUUUUUAAAUAUAUGUUAUCACGCUUUGUUAAAUAUAUUUAUAUCUGUCCAAUAGCUGUAUGUAGUAGUUAAAUAGUUAAGUUUUACAUUUGUCCAGCUCGGUUGUCUCUGUUUAAGCUGUAUGUCUAUUUUGGUAUACUGCUGUGCAUUUUUGUCUAUGUGCAAUGAAGGUGCAUCAGAAAGGAAAGUAAAAUUCAUUGUAUUUGCACACAUACUCAAGUCAAUAAAGCUGAUUCUGAUUUAAAAACAUACAAUACUAUGGCUGUUUUUCAUGAUUUUAGAUGACAUACUAUGACGUUUUUUCAUGGUUUUGGACUACAUACUAUACUAUG